UACGUAGGGGGCAAGCGUUGUCCGGAUUUAUUGGGCGUAAAGAGCGUGUAGGCGGCCAGGUAGGUCUGCUGUGAAAACCUCGAGGCUUAACCUCGAGCUGUCGGCGGAAACCAUCUGGCUAGAGUCCGGAAGAGGAGAAUGGAAUUCCCGGUGUAGCGGUGAAAUGCGCAGAUAUCGGGAAGAACACCCGUGGCGAAGGCGGUUCUCUGGGA
rnacentral:rRNA from 1 species